UACGGGGGGUGCGAGCGUUGUCCGGAAUCACUGGGCGUAAAGGGCGCGUAGGUGGUUUGAUAAGGGUGUGGUGAAAGUCCGGGGCUCAACCCCGGAUCUGCCGUGCCGACUGUCAAACUCGAGGGCUGUAGAGGCAGACGGAAUUCCGGGUGUAGCGGUGGAAUGCGUAGAGAUCCGGAGGAAGACCGGUGGCGAAGGCGGUCUGCUGGGCAGUUUCUGACACUGAUGCGCGACAGCGUGGGGAGCGAACCGG
rnacentral:rRNA from 1 species